GCUACCCGUUAUACCUGAAUUGGCUCUAGAGUAUGCAUACUUGGAGUCAAGCCCGUUGAAUUCUUUGGUUUCUACAUUGGAUAAGCACGGGGGAGUCUCAGCUGGAGUUGAAACUCUGCUCACUACUAGACAUUCUGGGUGACUGGUGGUGUGUGCUACCAGAGUCCAUUGUAUCAGAAGAUAGAAGACCUUCCUGGAAGAUCAUUAAGGAACCAUCUGAGAUACAAGCUCACCUUGGGAAAAGAGCCAUCAGGGCAUAUGGUUAAAAAAAGAGAAUCAAGAAUGAUAUCCAAGUUGUAGUUCAAGCAUCUCAACAUAAAUGAUGCCAUCUAAGAGGAGGAGCCAGAUCUAGUAAGCUUUGGAGGAAUUGAGAAGUCAAGAAUUCUGCCGUGAACAUGACCCAUUUGAAAGAUCUAUGGGAUAGUUAAGUGGAGGUGUCAUGUAGACAGCUGCCUAUCCUGAAAAAUUGCCCAAAUCAAAAUAUUUCUGAGAGUUUAAGUCAUGGUAA
rnacentral:lncRNA from 13 species